AUGAACGCUGGCGGCGUGCCUAAUACGUGCAAGUCGAGCGAACAGACGAGGAGCUUGCUCCUCUGACGUUAGCGGCGGACGGGUGAGUAACACGUGGAUAACCUACCUAUAAGACUGGGAUAACUUCGGGAAACCGGAGCUAAUACCGGAUAAUAUAUUGAACCGCAUGGUUCAAUAGUGAAAGACGGUUUUGCUGUCACUUAUAGAUGGAUCCGCGCCGCAUUAGCUAGUUGGUAAGGUAACGGCUUACCAAGGCAACGAUGCGUAGCCGGCCUGAGAGGGUGAUCGGCCACACUGGAACUGAGAAACGGUCCAGACUCCUACGGGAGGCAGCAGUAGGGAAUCUUCCGCAAUGGGCGAAAGCUUGACGGAGCAACGCCGCGUGAGUGAUGAAGGUCUUCGGAUCGUAAAACUCUGUUAUUAGGGAAGAACAAAUGUGUAAGUAACUAUGCACGUCUUGACGGUACCUAAUCAGAAAGCCACGGCUAACUACGUG
rnacentral:rRNA from 1 species